AUUUUGCGUCUCGAUCGGAUUUGAGUUGAUCAACUCUUGUCUUCUCCCUUGAUCAGCAUCUGGUCCAAACUUGAUCCGCAUCGCAUCAACUCUUGAAUACAACGAAUCCCUCUGGAACCUAAACUACCCUUUUGCCUUCUUAAUUUUACAACAAUAACUUUACAACCCAUAAAAUUAAUGAGACACGCAGGUCUCCAAAUUACAUAAUUUAAUUGGCACGCGCAGGCACCAAAAAAAAAUAUAAUCUAAUACUGGAUCCUUAUCAAAUCACAAAAAUUCACAUCAUCACAUGAUACAUGCACAUCACAAGGUCGCUAUCCAUGAUCAUCACCUCAUAUACAUCACAUGCAUAUAAUAUUAAAUUCUCUAAUUCGAAUUCUAGUUAAUUGGGAU
rnacentral:lncRNA from 1 species